ACAUGCAGAGAACUUUCAGAGAUGGAUUGGUGCCUUCGGGAACUCUGACACAGGUGCUGCAUUGGCUGUCGUCAGCUCGUGUCGUGAGAUGUUGGGUUAAGUCCCGUAACGAGCGCAACCCUUGUCCUUAGUUACCAGCACGUUAUGGUGGGCACUCUAAGGAGACUGCCGGUGACAAACCGGAGGAAGGUGGGGAUGACGGUCAAGUCAUCAUGGCCCUUACGGCCUGGGCUACACACGUGCUACAAUGGGUCGGUACAAAGGGUUGCCAAGCCGCGAGGUGGAGCUAAUCCCAAUAAAACCGAUCGUAGUCCGGAUCGCAGUCUGCAACUCGACUGCGUGAAGUCGGAAUCGCUAGUAAUCGUGAAUCAGAAUGUCACGGUGAAUACGUUCCCGGGCCUU
rnacentral:rRNA from 1 species